rnacentral:rRNA from 1 species
GAUGAACGCUGGCGGCGUGCCUAAUACAUGCAAGUCGAGCGAACAGACGCGGAGCUUGCUCCUCUCACGUUAGCGGCGGACGGGUGAGUCACACGUGGAUACCCUCCUUAUCAGACUGGGAUAACUUCGGGAAACCGGAGCUAAUCCCGGAUAAUCUAUUGAACCGCAUGGUUCAAUAGUGAAAGUCGGUUUUGCUGUCUCUAAUCGAUGCAUCCGCGCCGCAUUAGCUAGUUGGUAAGGUAACGGCUUACCAAGGCAACGAUGCGUAGCCGACGUGAGGGGGGGAUAGCCCACAUGAGAAGUGGACCGCGGUCCAGACUCCUAAGAGACGGAGCAGUAGGGUAUCGGACGCAGUGGUCGGAAGCCUGGCACAACGACGGCACGUGAGUGAUGAAGGUCCUCGGAGCGUAAUACUCUGUUAUGAGGGAAAAACAAAUGUGUAAUUAACUAUGCACGUCUUGACGGUACCUGGUCAGAAAGCCACGGCUAACUACGUG